ACCAAUACCUGAUUCAUUCAUCCUACUACUAAACUGAAAUUCACAACAAACAGUUGAACCAAUAAAUAAACAACUUCUCCAGAACCAUAAUUUCAACAAACAAACCAUGAACCAAGAAAUGUAAACAGAAGAGAAAUGCCGUUUUAGCUCAUACAAAUAAUCUUAUUCAAUCUUCAAGAAAAACAAAUAAAGAGACAUAGCAAGUCAAACAAUGAACACAAGAAACUAAACAUAGACAACAAUAUUGAAUAACUCCAGUCUCAUUUGUCCAAUUAAAGGGAAAUACAAAAAAAAAGUCUCGACAUACCUGAGAGCAAAAUGGAGAACAAAAUUUUAAAGAACCCAAUGAAGGAUGAAAUCUUUAAAGAUGAAACUCAGCAGAAAUUGCAGCAAUCAACAACAGAGGUUUGGCAAUAAAUUCUUGGUAGCCCAGAAACUAGCCCACAAAUUAAUAGAAAACCAUAGCUCUAAACGGCCAGAAAUAUGAGAUUAAGCACUUCACCUCCAAGCAAGAUUCAAACACGAGUUUCUUUCCUUUUCUUCAAUGAGAAAUUCUCCUAAGUCUUUACUAUUUCAAUUUUCUUCACUUCUUUUUUUUAGAUUUCAGAGGAUUUCUUUUCAUUUUUAGCCGUUUUGUGUGUGUGUGUGUGACAGAGAGGGAGCGAGGUGAUGAUUAGAGGAGGAGUGAGAUGAGAGUAAGCGAGCAGGGCGGCGACUGAUGGAUUUUCUUGGUUAAGGGGAGGAGUACGACGGCUAAUGGGUGAGAGAGGAAGAAAGAUUCUCUUUUGGAGAUAGUGGAAAAUAGCACUAAGGUUGGGGAAUAUCUAUUCUUAUUUGUAUCCUUAGGGAAUAUCUAAUCUUAUUUGUAUCCUUAGUGUUUUUUCU
rnacentral:lncRNA from 1 species